rnacentral:snoRNA from 1 species
ACUGCCCCUCAAGGUGUUGCAGGUGUGGCUGCCAUGUCCCUUCUGUGUCAUUAGGUGGCAGAGAGAGAGGUUUGCCUACGCCCACCAUCCUGGCCUUGGACAUCUGGAUGGUUGACAGCCUGACACU